CUUAAUGCCUAAUCACCCUGUAUUUGGCACAGGUUUUUCAGCUUAUAAACAUGAGUACCAUCAAAUGGUUACUAUAAUUCCGAAUGAUCUUAGAAUGGGCACCAAAGCCAAUUACCUUUGUGAUUGUUAUUUUUAUUGUUUGGAGUUGUAGCAGUCGUAGCCCAUAUUACAAACUGCUUGAUCAGAUUACCUUUUUGGAUAUGCAAAAAAAUAAAAAUAAAGAACUAACUAAAAAAAAUGUUGAGGAGAAGAAAUGAAUGUGGAAGCCCAUACAUCUAUAUGAAAAAACAAAGAGAAGUAGUUGAGAAAUUAAUAUGGGCUAGCUGGAGAAUUUAAUAACAAAAGAAUCAGAAGAUUAGUGGAAUGAAAUAAUGACAGGUCGAAUUUUUCCUGGAAGUAUAUUUUAUAUGCAGUGCAAAAACAAAUACCUGUUUGGGAAGCUUUGGUUUUCCCUGGCCACAUAUCGUAGAUAGACUUAUUAGUCACUGAUUAGUUCACCGUCGAUAUGUAUAAAAGGGAUGUGAGCAAUCUUAUGCCAGUCUUCUCCUUCCUCCCUGCGGCAACGUGGCUUCAGUAGUGGACAGUCAUCAAAUAACAAUGCAAUGAGGGAAGUGGGAAGCCCCUCUUCUGGCAAGGAUUGGAGCUGAGGGCACUUGAAAAUAUAUAUGCGUUCGAGAUAGCCAAGAAGUUGAAGGCCCCUUUUGUUGAGUGAUUUGAGAUUCGGCAGAUCUCCGAAGCAGAGAUAUGUAAGAGUGGAGGGCAGCACCCCCUCCUCGGGGAACGACUCCAACACAUCUUCAGAUCCACCGAACAG